rnacentral:rRNA from 1 species
UACGUAGGUGGCAAGCGUUAUCCGGAAUUAUUGGGCGUAAAGAGCGCGCAGGUGGUUGAUUAAGUCUGAUGUGAAAGCCCACGGCUUAACCGUGGAGGGUCAUUGGAAACUGGUCGACUUGAGUGCAGAAGAGGGAAGUGGAAUUCCAUGUGUAGCGGUGAAAUGCGUAGAGAUAUGGAGGAACACCAGUGGUGAAGGCGGCUUCCUGGUCUGUAACUGACACUGAGGCGCGAAAGCGUGGGGAGCAAACAGGAUUAGAUACCCGU